CUGCUCCAGCAGCACAAUGUGAUCCACCGGCAAGGAGGGACACCAAUAAGGUGUCCGAUAAGAUAAUCACCACUGUUCAAGACCAACGUGCCACAAUUUUCUGUCACCAUUGGGAGGCUGUUGUGACUUUGUGGAAAGUUGUUUGGAAGUUUCCUUUCCUGCUGUUUUGUGCCUGCAGAUGGGAAUGGUAUAAAAGAAACAAUAAAAAUGGGCAGUGCCAUUUGUAUGACCUUAUUCUUCCAAAUUAUAGGUUCUUCUGUUCAGUAAUAACAAGUGGUAGUGAGGACAUCCGAUAUUUCCAGAGAAAGAAUUUUCUUGUUGAGAAAAAAAAACCUUCUUGGAAACAGGAAAUCAAUUUUAGUUGACCACAUUUGGAGUCCCAAAUUAAAAGGUUCAUUCUCAAUUUUUUUUUUUCACAACCAGCUUGAAGUUCUAAGGGAAAACCAAGUAUGUAUCUGCAUUUCUUUUCUGUGUGGUUCACAUGAAGAAUAGUUCCCACCUACAAUGGCCAGUUGAAUUUGGACCUUAGUAAGAGAGAAUCGUAACUCUACACCAGACACUCGGAGCUUAAGCACCCCAGCAUCAGUGGUGCCUAGGAGAGCUUGUCCUAGGGACCAUGAAGCUAAAGAGUACAAACGGCUUCUGGGCUGUGAAAUGCCCUGAAGAGAAGGAAGUGUUCUCUGCCAUUACACAAAUCAAACUCUCAGUCCUACAGGACACUCUGACAUGAGGGCUGGUUGGAAGACAUGCUUCUUCUCCAUUGAAAUUCCCUAUCAUGGAGUUAUCUGCUAAGCCAAUCCCGAGAGAGCACGCCUUUGAUUUUCCAAUUACUACAUUGUUUUAUCCUCACCCGUGGUGUGUGAAUCAAGAACUAUAUUUUACAAAUGAGGAAACUGAAGUGAAGAUAAGCUCAGCAAAAACUGAAAGCCGUGUACCUAAGAAUGGAGGACUGAUAUAGCCACAGUCAGGGCCUUAUCCAGACAGCUGUAAAUCACAGUGUUUAAAAAUGCAGAACAAAACAAGCCAUGAAAAUCAUUGGGGACAGAAGGGGGAAAAAAAAGAUGAAGUCAUAUGAGUACUAGAGAAUCAGCAGAUGGCUCCAAAUCCUGCUGUCCCUUAGCUGGCUUGUGACCUUGGCCAAGUCACUUUUGAACUCAGCUCAGCUUCUUUGGGCACAAAGUUUGCAACAUCUGUCAGGCCUUUCUCUCUAGGUCUUGUGACUUAAGGCAUUGUAUAUGAAAGCCCCCUGUAAAGUC
rnacentral:lncRNA from 1 species